AAUAUACCGGGAAUAAAAAAUAUAAGAUUAGUUUCACUUUCACCUGACCUAGACCUACCAAUAUAGCGUGCCAGGUACGCUACGCUACGCUAGUGGUGUGUAUACUCACGAAGAUGGAGACAAACAAACGCCCGCCGGCCCGAUAAAAAGUCGGACGGGUUUGAAAUUUUUAAUUGAGUCGAGUUGGAGUUGGAAAAAAAAAAAAUCGGGCGGUUCCUUCACUGCUGUUUGUUUUUUUUUUUCCUUUCUCUCGAAAAGAAAACGUCGAAAAAAAUCUUCCCGAUCCCGUGGCCACGAGAGCCGGAGCGCGGCUUUGCAAGAGGGGGAGAAGCCUAGCCCGAUCCCGCGGCCACAAGAGCCAGAGCGGGGCAUCCGGCUCUCGUGGCAUCCGCUCCACGGAUCAUGGGCUUUGGCCACGAGAGCCAGAGCGUGGCAUCCGCUCCACGGACCAUGGGUUUUGCGGUUCACGUUAUUAGCCGUAUCUUUUCGGUAGAGCCGUAAAGGAUGUUGCCACCCAAGAAAGAGUGCGUUUUUCAAUCUCUGUAGCUGCAAAUUUAUUCGUCAGAAAAUAUUUGCACACCUCAUACGGUUGUGAAGUCCUACAUCUGGGACAAUUUGGUUUAUUGUCGAGGCUGUGGAUUGCUGCAUGCAUACUUUACCAUACAUUAUCCUAAAUAUUAAAAAAAAACUCUAUUUUUGCCUCUGUUAUCAAAAAGAAAAAGAAAAAAAACUCUAUAGCUGCAUAUUUGUUUUUUUUUCCCCCAUGGGUUCUGCCUGGUACACCCACCUAACGAUGAAACACUUUUCUUUGUUCACAUUUUAUUUGUUAAUUAAACGACGACCAGCGAGGAGCACGAUGAUUAGCAACUUGCACAGGUCCCACUUCUUUGGGGUCCAAAGAGCCCACCCAUUUGGAAGUCAUGCCAGCGUUUUGAGGGACAUUUAUUACAUAUUUACAUUCAGAAGAGAAGUUAAGCCCAAUGACAAACAAUUCCCCACAAGAUUCGACUAAAUUAUUAAAAAAAAGGAAAAACGCCCACAUGCUUUCCUCAAGCAACCAACACACAAUCAUGACCAACUUCGCGCCAGGGAAUAAACAAAAACCAUAAUACGGAAACAAAACACAUUGUUCGAACAAACAUUUUAGAAGAAGUUAACCUAUUGCUACCAAAAGACAAAAAAAAAAAAAAAAAAAAAAAAAAGGUCCAUGGAGUUCGUAAGAGCCGUGCUGCGUUUGGCCUGUUUAUACCGUCAAAGGUGUGGCUGGAAUUUAUUCAGAAGCCAUCUCUCUAGCGUUUCCAACAUAAAUACGCCAAGAUUUCUACAGGUUCUGACUAGCAAGACGACUUUGAAAAACUUGGAAUUUGGGGUUCAUCAAUCAGUAUGGACUGCAUCCCAACCUCUCCGCGAACCAAGCACGCCCGACAUUAACCGUACCAAUGAGAAUUACAAUGACCAAACCAACCUACUGCCGGCCUUUCCUCCCUUUCUGCGAGAGCUUGAGAUGUUGUUCUUGGAUGUUCCUGAUGACCCAUACAUCUCUGGGCAGUUCUUCGUUUCCCAGAGAAAAAUAACCUAAUAGCCUGGCGUUAGAUUUUGAAUUCCAAAUACCCACGCAUCUCUUCUUGUGCAAGAACCGAGUCUCACAUGAAUUUGACAUGGGAAUGCUCCCAAUCAGAAAGAAGCCCCAGGAUUCCAAUAAAGAAACCACGCGUCAACAGCAAGAGAGGAGAAACCUGAAACGGACGGACGGACGGACGGACGGACGGACGGACGGACGGACGGACGGACGGAGCAGCAGCAGCAGCAUUUGGAGAAUGCGGUUCAGGGAUUGGUGGAGACGAGGCGGUCGAGCAAGAACAUGGCGCCCAGGAACCAGACCGCGAAAUAGAGCACGAUCAAGAUAUCCAGGUCACCGCCCGUGCGGCCCCAGAUCGGUCCCAUGCCCGCGGAGAAAGAGAAGGAAUCAACCGAGGGGAGCAGCGUCAGCUCUCCAGAGGCGAAAGCGGCAGCGGAUCUCGAAGAGGAUCGCACACGCACACAGAUGAGGGAAUGCGGUCUCGACAGUGACCCCGGAGAAGAGCUGCAGAGGAAGGAAGAAAGAGAGAGAAUAAGAAUAACAGAAGGAAGAAACGAUAAGAAUGAUGAUGAUGAUCGUUACGAGGAAGGGAGCCGCGCCUUGCCGAUGGAUGACCCGAGCAAUUAAUGCUCCUUCCGUUCAAUCGGAGACCAGACCAGCGGCGAGACAAUGGGAGGAGCACGAGCGAGCGGGGCCUCCUCUUAAAAGCACACGGAUUCUGGUCUGUCCGCUCUUCGGCCGUCCGAUUCGAGAAAACUAUGCGAGGAACCUGAUAUUCUUGCCAAGAGUGUUCACAUUAAUAUAAUUGAUCUUUGGAAUUCUUUGCUGUUGAUCAUGGGUUUAUAGCGGCUAAUUAAUAUUUCUACAGAUUGGUUGGCAAGUAGAGAUUUCAAUUAUGAUAUUUUUCUCAAAUGAUGUGGCACAUCCAGAGUUAUUUUUGUUGCUACAAACUGAUUGCCCUGCAUGGGCCUUUCUUUCUA